rnacentral:rRNA from 1 species
UAAUGCAGUGAACGGGAUCCACCGGGCUUUGCUUGGUGGUGAGAGUGGCGAACGGGUGAGUAAUGCGUGACCGACCUGCCCCAUACACCGGAAUAGCUCCUGGAAACGGGUGGUAAUGCCGGAUGCUCCAGUUGAUCGCAUGGUCUUCUGGGAAAGCUUUCGCGGUAUGGGAUGGGGUCGCGUCCUAUCAGCUUGACGGCGGGGUAACGGCCCACCGUGGCUUCGACGGGUAGCCGGCCUGAGAGGGCGACCGGCCACAUUGGGACUGAGAUACGGCCCAGACUCCUACGGGAGGCAGCAGUAGGA